CUGAAAACUGAAAACAAGCAAUCUCAACCGUUAGAUUAUCUAUAGUAUAAUCUAACGGACAAAAUUCACAGAUGAUUUUGAGCAAAAUAUCGAGCGCUUUCUUUCUCUCAAAGCAAAAUUCCAGAUCAAACUUUCUCUCUCCUCUUCUCCUCUCUCUCUCCUUCGUUUAUCUUCUGAAACUCAGAAAUUUUCUCUCUCCUCUCUCAUCUCUCCUUUCUCCUUCGUUUAUUCUAGAUCAAACUUUCUCUCUCCUCUUCUCCUUCGUUUAUUCCAGAUCCAGCGAAUUUCAGAUCAAAAUUCGAAUCUUCACAUUUUUGUGAUCGAAAUUGUGUUCGAAAUUGUGGCCCGUGUUCUUCUGCACUUUUUCUUACUCCAUUUCUGAGUUCAAUACCCAGAUGGCGGAAAUGCCCUUAAAUCCAUUGUAUUUCAAUUUUGCUUAGUUUAUUUCUUUCACCGACUUCAACUUUUGAUCACAAAGUCAUUGCCUUUUUUGCUCUAAAUACAAUUUCUAAUUUUGGGUAGUACCCAGUU